AUAAAACAAAACCCUAUUUUUUAAUUCAGAAAAAAUUAGGGCUUCCAGAGCACUUUGCAAUAAAAGCAAUGUUAAGGCCUCAGUCAGCAUUAUCUGGUGCCAUUCAUUAAUCCACUUAAUAAUUAUUUUACUGAGUGCCAGGAAAGCUCCCUCUUCUCGGGAAGUUUACAUACUUAAAAAGGGAGAAUUAGCGAGACUCCGUCUCACAAAACAAAACAAAAAAAAGGGAGAAAUGCUUUUAGACUGAGUAUGUUGGUGGGUCUGCAGAUAUUUUUCAUCCUUCAUCACUUGCCUCCAGCACCACUUUGGUAAUGUAAAUAAAAGUGAGAUGAGGCUGUCAUGAUUUCUGAUAGCUUGGUUUAUAACACAUUUAGGUGUCAGAGACAUAAUGAACUGAGCUACUGAAAAUCCUAAGUACCUCAUCUAUGGUGUCUUUUGGAAUUGGAGACAUUUAUGGUUUUUUUAACGUAACCUUGGUGGGUCAUCUCAAACAUCUAUUAGGUGUAAGGUAUUAUGCAGAAAUACCUGUAACUCAAAAAACAAGAUUUUACUCUCCAUUUCUUCAGUGACUGUUUGGCUGAGUCAUUCUGAAAUGCAAAUUGUUACAAUGUAAACAUCUAACCAAGAAUUUUCAAACCACUGCCCAUCGCUGCUUUGAUUUCUUGAACUCUUAAUGAUUUGAUGUGGUUUCACAAUCUUGGCUUGUGUUCAUCUCCCUUUCAAUCACCAGUAUGUUAUUUUUUGGUCACCAAUGAUUUAAAACGCAAAUGUACCUUCCACUGCCCCUCUCCCACACCCCAAAUCCUUACCCUAUGGAAGUCCAUGGUUGUGGGUGUGGCCUCUGCAUACCUCUCGUAUUUCAUGUCUCACCAUGUGAUUCCCACUUGACCCUCCAGAGUCUUGAACACACAUGUCGCUUAUCACCUCUGUGCUUUUGCUCAUUAGGUCCAAGGCCUUGGAUGCUGCUCCAGCAAGUGUUUUCACCUGACUGCAUCCUGCUUCUCCUUUAGAACUCAUCUCAGAAAUCUCCUACUUUAGGAAGCCAGUGGGUUAGAAGCAUUUUCUCAGUGGCCCCAUGAUGUAUGCUCUAUGACUUAUCCUUGCUAUAUAAUUCUAUAUAAUUCUGCUUGUGUUUGACUCUUCUCCCAGAUUUACCAAAUCCUUAACAAAAGAUGAAUAGGGCAAUGUUUCUCUAAUCCACAUCACCUGCAUAAGAAAUCAUCCCAGGAGCUUGUUAAAAAUGCCUUCCCAAGCCCUACCUAGAACCUACCAAACCAGAAUCUCUAUGUAAAACACGGAAAUUGACAACCACUGGCCUCUGGGAGGAGGAAUUAGGCAUUACAUAGAGGUCACCUGGGUUUCAAGUGUGUUGCUUCUAUUUCAUACCCAAGUCAACUAGGUGACAGAGAUCAGCCCCCUUGCUAGCUUUCACAAGAAAGCCAGUUAAAUUGUGCUCUUGGUGAUUUCUGCAUACUUUACUGAAAAAGGAGCAUUAUCUGUUAUGGACCAACUUUCUCUUGCUCCCCUUAUCCUUCUCUCUUUCUGCAUUUCCUCUUCUAGCUUCUAAAGUAUCUGCCUCGACUAUGUAUCUUCUUGGAUGAUCUCGAUUUAACAAUUUUCUUUCUACAAAAUAUACCAUCUGCAGAAACCAAAACAGUACAUCAUGAUUUUGUGAAUGUGUAUCUUCAUAGUGAAAACCGUAUUUGAAUACUUGCCACCAUGAUUUGCUUAAGGAAGAAAUCCACUGGAAAAGUUUACACAGCAAAGGUGUGUGUCUGCGUGUGUGUGUGUGUGUGUGUGCAUGCCUGUGCAUGUGCUCAUUUUAAAAAUCAGAUAUGACUUGUCCUUUAACUUUAGUUGGCAGAGACAGAAAAGUGCAAAUUCAGUAAAUAAUUGACUUACACAAUAUGUGACAAUAAAUACUCUAAUUUUCUGUGACAUCUAAAAGUUAUAAUUCUUUACUCAGUAGAAGACAGCUAUCAGGUGCUAAAAUAAAAAAAAGAUACCUAACCCAAUAAAGGCAAAAUCUUAGUUAUAUUAACCAGCAAGGUACAUAUUACAUUAUUAUUACUAGACCAUGCCUCCAAGUGUGUCAAAUUAUAAAAAUGUGUUCAGCAUACAUAAAAUAUACAUUAAAGAUUUCUCUCAUCAUAGGCACAAUCUAAUACAAAAAUAUAUUUGACAUUUAUAAGUUAGAAGAUCCAUUGAGAGCCUCCAAAAUAGGACAGGGGAAGGAAUGAGUGAUGACAACAUAAAAAAAGAAGCACACAUAGAUGCAAAUAGUUCCACUUAUAUGAUUAUUUUCUUCAUCAGCAAAGGGUUAAGAGCAGUUUACACCAAACCAAGUUACCAAGCAGAUCACAAUCAGUUCACAGGUUGGAUAAGUCACGGCACGCAGGCCAGAAAAUGUACUCAGACUUCAGUCAACCUAAUGGGACAGUGUACUCACACUGUGGUUUUGUUGUUUUGGAGUCUAGAAGCUCCAUCUACCCAUUCUCCAUGGUCUACCACCAUGUUAACACAGAUUUACCACAGGCGCCAUCUGUACCAAGCCUAGGAUAGACUCUUUAAAAAAAAAAAGACCUGGCCGGUCACAGUGGUUCAUGCCUGUAAGCAUUUUGAGAGGACAAGGUGGGUGGAUCAUGAGGUCAGGAGUUCAAGACCAGCCUGGCCAAGGUGGUGGAACCCUGCCUCUACUAAAACUGCAAAAAUUAGCCAGGCACGGUGGCAGGAACUUGUAAUCCCAGCUACUUGGGAGGCUCAGGCAGAAGAAUCGCUUAAACCCGGGUGACAGAGGUUGCAGUGAGCACAGAUCACACCACUGCACUCCAGCCUGGGCAACAGAGUGAGACUCUGUUUCAAAAUAAAAAUAAAAAUAAAGAUUAAAAAUUUUAAAAAGACCUACACUUUGACUAGUAAAGAAAACCUACAGGAUGGUGUUGCAAAACGCAAAAUUGUCUAUCCAGUUAAGUGAGCUGAACACAAACUAAUCUGAAGUCCUGAACUCUCUGUGGGGAAAUAAAAGUAUUUUUUUUAAGCAGGCAGAAAUAAAUGUUUUGAAAAAGAUUCAAAAGCACAGGACCUUAUAUAAUCUUUGAAUGUGGAAUAAUAGUUCAAACAAUAUUUUGAACUGAAAAUUCAAGAAUGAACUCUCAAACAAAAAUGUCAUGAUUCAGAAUGCUCCAUGAUGAUGACAGAAAAGCUUGUCACCUAUGCUGCAUGUUAAGAAGAGAGAAAAAUGGCAACAGCCGUAUUUUAAAGAUUCAUAAUGUUCUUCCCUUCCAUCUAGUUAAAACCAGAUGUCCAGGCCGGGCACGGUGGCUCACACCAGUAAUCCCAGCUCUUUGGGAGGCCAAGGCGGGUGGAUCACGAGGUCAGGAGAUGGAGACAAUCCUGGCUAACAUGGUGAAACCCCAUCUCUACUAAAAAUACAAAAAAAAUUAGCCGGGUGUGGUUGCGGGUGCCUGUAGUCCCAGCUACUUGGGAGGCUGAGGCAGGAGAAUGGUGUGAACCCAGGAGGCAGAGGUUGCAGUGAGCCAAGAUCACGCCACUGCACUCCAGCCUGGGUGACAGAGCGAGACUCCGUCUCAAAAAAAAAAAAAAAAAAAAAAAAAAACAAAAAACAGAUGUCCAAUAUUUUUGGGCACCAAUUUUGCUCUUCAGAAAAAAGUUCCCUUCUCAUUCACUGAAUAUAGGAGAGCAAUCUCUUCUCUCUUACUAUUAUCUAAAACCCACACGGAAUUCACAUCAGGGAGAAAGUCAAUGUGAAUACACAUUUUGGAAACAGUCUACUGAAAAGUGGUCAGUAACAGAGAUGAAGAAAUAUGAAUACUGUUUAGCCAAAAUCAGUGAGAAAUAACUUCUUUCAAAGAAAUUAUGACUAUUCCCUCAAAACAAGGUCAAAUCAGAUAAAAUUUGCCAACAUUCUACUUGCUUUUCUGUUUUAUUUUGAAAAGAAAUAUUAAAAUAUUAAUAUGAGAUCAUGUUUCAGCCAAAAGAAUUUGUAAAUAAACGAUACCCUAAAAUGAUAUCCUUUAGCUCAAUAAAAAUUUCUUUAAAAAUCUAACCUUAAACAUUGAGCCAAAUUAUGGCAGAGAUUCUUAAAAGUGACUGAGGUAUUUAGAUUCUUCAAAACCACAGGUUUGCAGUACCGGGCAUGGAGGUAAAUUAAAUGACAAAAAUUAGCAAUGAAGAAUAAAAAAAUAACUUUGAAUUCCUUGUAUAAUAUCUAAAUAACCUGAGCUAAGGGGAAAAUGAUUAAAUCCUGGCACUGUGUAGCCCAGCAAAUGUUCCACCAGCAAAUAUUUUGAGGCCAAAAUCUAUGUUCAUUCACGAAUAACCUUUUCAAGUAAUGUGUCAAAAGAUUUCCAAAAGUUGGUAAUUUGACAAUUUUCACAAAGAAAGGUAAACUCCUAAAAUGUAGAUACUGUUUGUCUAAUCUAUAGACUAGGCUAAUAGAUUAGCAAAAGAGUCACACUUUUAGUUGUAAAAUUAUCUUCUAUUAAUAUUUGCUCUUACUUGGUUGGCUUUCAAAGGAAAAAGAGUGUCCAUCGCUUUGAAACAUUCUGUAGACAAUCUGGAGAUGACUAUUUCUGGUGACAUAACUUCAGCUGAAGAUUUUGUUCUUUUAAUAAGUAAAACAUGGAAUUCUGGCCUAUUAACAUGAAUUAUUUUUACAAUAAAAGUCAGUUGGUGGUCAGGAGAUCUGCUUUCUAUUCAUUGCUCUGCUGAUAACAGGAAUAAUUAAUUGGGAUAAGUCAAUUUGCCUUUUUGUGCCUGAGUUUC
rnacentral:lncRNA from 10 species